GUGAAAAUAGUUAUAAAUGUCUUUAUCAAUUAUGAGUAGCUAAACUUAUCUACUUUUGGACACUGAUGCGCAGGAGAACCCCUAGCUGUCAAUCAAGCAGGCGCGGUGAACGGAUUAUGACGCUCAAGCGUUCCAAAUGACGCAACAAUACAGCUCCAGACCAGAGGAAGUUAAUGCCGAAGAUAUCAUUCGGUUCCACACUAAAACUGAGGUUUGACACGUGUGAUUUGAGGCUAGAGCUUGAGGACUCAACUCUGAAGACUGUUUCUGAAUUCACUGACCUGAAAUAAAACUUGUAGACCUUUCCUGCAGUCUCUGAGGAGAUGGACAGCUCUUCUUCUUCUGGACGAUCUCCGUCUCCUACUGGGACUGUCUUCUUACCCCCUCCUAUCAUGUGGAACAGUCUCUACAAGCAGGCAGAGAUGGAGCUUCACUUCCCGAGAGAAGAGAAGAAGACCUAUACAGAGAAGGAAGCCCACAUGCUUGAGUUGAUGGGGAAGGAUCGAACGAUCCGAAACCAGAAGAAGGAGAUGGACAGACUUCAAGUCUGCCUCUGGGAGGAGGAAAAGAAGAAGAGGAAUGGUGGAACGGAGAAGGACAAGAUCAUUGAACAAUUACAGUCUGAGACAGACCAUCUCCGAGCCCUUUUCAAAGAUGAAAGGAGGAGAAGAAGAGUAGAAAGGGGUAUCAUGAAAGAGUGGAAGGCUGAGAUCCUGAGACUGAGGGAGGCAGAGAGCCAGAGGGAGGCAGAGAGCCAGAGAGAGGCAGAGAACCAGAGAGAAGCAGAGAGACAGAGAGAAGCAGAGAGACAGAGGGAAGCAGAGAGACAGAGGGAGGCAGAGAGAGAGAGGGAAGCAGAGAGACAGAGGGAGGCAGAGAGACAGAGAGAAGCAGAGAGACAGAGAGAAGCAGAGAGACAGAGGAGGCAGAGAGACAGAGGGAAGCAGAGAGACAGAGGGAGGCAGAGAGACAGAGGAAGGCAGAGAGACAGAGAGAAGCAGAGAGACAGAGAGAAGCAGAGAGAGCCACAGAAGCAAUGGAGUACCAGAGAAAACUGCAGGAGAUCCACAGACUCAAACAACUGCUGGAUCUACUGAUGGUGGACCUACAACUGGCCCACGUAAGACAUGUCAUUGUUAUUAUUAAAAGGCAGUGUAUAUUUACCCAGCUGAAAAUGAAUAGUGGCAGACAGCGGUACGCUAACCUAAUGUUAACUUUUAUUCCUUUCCUUAACCCUUACCUUAACCUCACUGAAACUAUACCUAACCUUUACCUUAACCCAACCCUAGGUCCUGAACCUAACCUUCAUUUAUCUCAACCCCUAUGCCUUUCUUCUGCCGGUUGAAUAUCCACUUCCUUAUUAACGUCAUUACUGUUGUUGUUGAUAACUGUAUCUGUGCAGGUUGUAAAUAGUUGCAUUAGUGAAGCAUCAUUUGUAGGAGUAAUUUCUACAAGCAUAAACAUCAGAGGCAACAUUGUUGUAACAUCACACAAAUUGUAACAGGAAUUUCUCAAACCCCUAACUGAAUGGGCAAGAAGGUUGUGUGUUUGUAUUUGUACACAUUUUGGACAUAAUUGAUUCCAUAAAAUGUCUCAUAAUUUUUUCAAACCAUGUCAAUACAUUAAUUGACAAUGAAUUGUCCAGAUGAAUUGAUCAACAUGACCCUGCUAUUGAUGUUGUCCAGUGUUUGAUUCAAUUACCUAGCUCUAGGUUGUAUUUCUGUGUAUCAUUCUCUGCAAAUCCUUUGAAAGUAUGUCUUGGUAAUAGAUUAUCACUAAUUUAACCUUUUAAAAUGAAGCAAGAGAUUGAGAGAUUGAGGCUAUGGCAGAAAGUCAUGGAGGAGCAGCGACCAAGACUGGCCUGGAA
ensembl:lncRNA